rnacentral:rRNA from 1 species
GACGUAGGGUGCGAGCGUUGUCCGGAUUUACUGGGCGUAAAGAGCGCGUAGGCGGCUCGUUAAGUGUGAAGUGAAAUCUCCAGGGCUCAACCCGGAAACUGCUUUACAUACUGGCGAGCUAGAGGAAUGCAGAGGUUAGUGGAAUUCCUGGUGUAGCGGUGAAAUGCGUUGAUAUCAGGAGGAACGACCCAUGGCGAAGGCAAGCUAACUGGGCAUUAGUCU